rnacentral:lncRNA from 1 species
AUAUCGCAAUUCCGGCAUGGCACCGCCGCUUGCGGCGGCGAUUCACCUCAGGUUGGCCGUUUUCGGCCGAAUUCGGCCACGCUUGCAUCGGUCCCUGCGAUAGAACAACCCUAGGGCCCUCGGUGGGCCGAAAAAUCACGAAAAACUAAAACUUACCGGCGGCAGUGCUCUCGGGUGCGGCGGCUCCUCCGGCGUGAGUCACGUUUUGAUGUUUGGCUCCGAUCAACCUGUAGAGAAAGAACGGUGAUCACAGUGGUAUAAAAUUUGCAUCAAACGGAGGCCGAGAAGGGCCUCAUCAGAGGCAAAAACUGAGGAGGGGCGCGGCGACGCUGCUGGGUUUCGGCUGAGUUUUUCGGCCGUUUGGCCGGUGGUUUGGCUCCGGUUUGGCCAUAGGCGGACUUAGCGUCGAAAAAC